rnacentral:sRNA from 1 species
UGAUAUCGGGAGCCCGAGAAAGCUUGGGU